GACGAACGCUGGCGGCGUGCUUAACACAUGCAAGUCGAACGAAGAGCGACGGAAGCUUGCUUCUAUCAAUCUUAGUGGCGAACGGGUGAGUAACGCGUAAUCAACCUGCCCUUCAGAGGGGGACAACAGUUGGAAACGACUGCUAAUACCGCAUACGAUCUAAUCUCGGCAUCGAGGAUGGAUGAAAGGUGGCCUCUACAUGUAAGCUAUCACUGAAGGAGGGGAUUGCGUCUGAUUAGCUAGUUGGAGGGGUAACGGCCCACCAAGGCGAUGAUCAGUAGCCGGUCUGAGAGGAUGAACGGCCACAUUGGGACUGAGACACGGCCCAGACUCCUACGGGAGGCAGCAGUGGGGAAUCUUCCGCAAUGGACGAAAGUCUGACGGGAGCAAACGCCGCGUGAGUGAUGACGGCCCUUUCGGGUUGUAAAAGCUC
rnacentral:rRNA from 1 species